CCUACGGGGGACAGCAGUGAGGAAUAUUGGUCAAUGGACGAGAGUCUGAACCAGCCAAGUAGCGUGAAGGAUGACUGCCCUAUGGGUUGUAAACUUCUUUUAUAAAGGACUAAAACGAGGCACGUGUGCCUUUUUGCAUGUACUUUAUGACUAAGGAUCGGCUCACUCCGUGCCAGCAGCCGCGGUAAUACGGAGGAUCCGCGCGUUAUCCGGAUUUAUUGGGUUUAAAGGGAGCGUAGAUGGGUUGUUAAGUCAGUUGUGAAAGUUUGCGGCUCAACCGUAAAAUUGCAAUUGAUACUGGCAGUCGUGAGUACAGAUGAGGUAGGCGGAAUUCGUGGUGUAGCGGUGAAAUGCUUAGAUAUCACGAAGAACCCCGAUUGCGAAGGAAGCUUACUAAACUGUGACUGACAUUGAUGCUCGAAAGUGUGGGUAUCAAACAGGAUUAGAGACCCCAGUAGUC
rnacentral:rRNA from 1 species